GCCGGGAUGGCUCAGUGGUAGAGCGAGUAAUUGGUAAUUACUAGGUCAUGGGUUCGAUUCCCAUUCUCGGCU
rnacentral:tRNA from 1 species